rnacentral:misc_RNA from 1 species
UCGAGUUGUGCCCCUAUUUGAGAAACUUGCUGAUCUCGAGGCAGCCCCUGCAGCUGUAGCCAGACUCUUCUCGAUAGACUGGUAUGUGAACAGGAUUGAUGGAAAGCAGGAAGUUAUGAUCGGGUAUUCAGAUUCCGGGAAGGAUGCCGGACGCUUUUCUGCAGCCUGGCAGAUGUAUAAAGCCCAAGAGGAGCUUGUAAAAGUUGCCAAGAAAUUUGGAGUGAAGUUGACAAUGUUUCAUGGACGAGGGGGUACUGUUGGGAGAGGUGGUGGUCCUACUCAUCUUGCUAUAUUAUCUCAGCCGCCAGAUACUAUUCAUGGGUCACUUCGUGUCACGGUUCAAGGUGAAGUCAUAGAACAAUGCUUUGGAGAGGAACAUUUGUGUUUCAGAACACUGCAGCGUUUUACUGCUGCUACUCUUGAACAUGGGAUGCACCCUCCUAUUUCUCCAAAGCCAGAAUGGCGUGCGUUGAUGGAUGAGAUGGCUGUUGUG